UGUUGCGGUGAAUACGUUCCCGGGUCUUGUACAUACCGCCCGUCAAACCAUGAAAGUGACCAACACCCGAAGUCCGAUUCGUCGGCCUAAGGUGGGGGGCAUGAUUGGGGUU
rnacentral:rRNA from 1 species